UACAGAGGUCUCAAGCGUUGUUCGGAUUCAUUGGGCGUAAAGGGUGCGUAGGUGGCGAGGUAAGUCUGGUGUGAAAUCUCGGGGCUCAACCCCGAAACUGCACUGGAUACUGCCUUGCUCGAGUACUGGAGAGGAGAUUGGAAUUUACGGUGUAGCAGUGAAAUGCGUAGAUAUCGUAAGGAAGACCAGUGGCGAAGGCGAAUCUCUGGACAGUUACUGACACUGAGGCACGAAGGCCAGGGGAGCAAACGGG
rnacentral:rRNA from 1 species